rnacentral:rRNA from 1 species
CAGGAGGAGGACAAGCCUUGGAAGGGGACCCAUGUGCCGUGUGACUUAACGGAUAGACAACCUUUUGCGUCCUGUACCACCAUCACUCUCGGGGAUGGCUCAGUGGCAAAGUUCUGGACUGAAAAAUGGCUAGACGGACAGGCACCGAGAGAUAUCGCACCAGCUGCCUUCCGCCUCACCCGCCGGAAGAACCUAACUGUCCAAGAGGCCCUCUUGGAAGGGAGAUGGAUGAAAGGACUGGAGCGUGUUGCUAAUGCCAAUGAUUUGGAUUAGUCCAUCCACCUUUGGGAUCGGGUUCAAGCUAUGCAUAUCACAACUGAAAGGGACAAAAUCACUUGGAAUCUUACUACAAAUGGUGCUUAUUCUGCCACCUCUGCGUAUCAUGCUCAAUUCCUUUCUAGGAUUCAUCAACCAAGGCUCAUGAAGGUCUGGAGAGCAAAGGCUGAGCCCAAAGUCAAUUUCUUACAUUUGGCUCCUGCUACAAAACAGGAACUGGAUGGCUGA